rnacentral:tRNA from 1 species
GAUAGGGUGGCUGAGAAUAGGCAGUAGAUUGUAAAUCUAUUUAGGAGGUUGAACUCCCCUAUCA